rnacentral:lncRNA from 1 species
AGGAGGGAGGCCCAGCGCACGCCUGCCCUUCUCCUGUUGUCAGCAGGAGGGCCAUCAGAAGGAAGCUCUGUUCUCAGAAGAAAGAGCAUGAAGCCCAGUGCCAGGCGGAAACGGGCACAGAAGCAACUGGCCCAUCAGAGACAGUUAAAGGAAAAACAAAAAAAUGGGAUGGAAGAUGUUUGAGGGGAAGGGAGAGGCUGUACCCUAGACUGAAGGAAUCGAGGAUGGGAGACAGAAAUCUGCAUGCAUUUUUUACAAGCUUCCUAGGUCUUUCUUGCGCCCAGAACAACUGUGACCUCUCAGGUAAGACCUCUUCCAGGAGGAGGCAUCUUAGCUGGCCUCGAGGGAUGGUUAGGAUUUCAAUUAAAAGAGUGAAAUAAACCUUGGACGGACAGACAGCUGGGCAAAGGAGCUGAUGGAUAAAGCCCAUACUCUAAGAGGAGAAUAAAGCAGAGAAAGGCCUGAGGGAGGGGAAGCCCAGUCCAGUA